UACGUAGGUGGCAAGCGUUGUCCGGAUUUACUGGGCGUAAAGGGCGUGCAGGCGGUUUGUUAAGUUCAGGGUGAAAGCUCCCGGCUCAACUGGGAGAGGUCCUUGGAUACUGGCAGACUAGAGGAGGGUAGAGGAGAGUGGAAUUCCCGGUGUAGUGGUGAUAUGCGUAGAUAUCGGGAGGAACACCAGUGGCGAAGGCGGCUCUCUGGGCCCUACCUGACGCUGAGACGCGAAAGCGUGGGGAGCGAACAGG
rnacentral:rRNA from 1 species